rnacentral:lncRNA from 1 species
UGUAGAGUGAAGAAGGGAGUGACAGAAGAGGAAGGGGGUGCAUAGACUGAACAGUCGGGUUGUCUGCUUCCCCCUCAAAUAAGCGCAUCAGGACACAAACGCCACAACAUUGGCCGUCAGCAGGUGGGUUCCUGGAUUCCUUCCCCGUUGGUAGAUGGACCAGAAAGUUGCACUCAUAGCUGGUGGUGGAAUCUGCCCUGGCAAAUCAGGAGACAUCAUUCCACAGGGUUAUUUUGAGGCAAGAUAUACUGCAUCUGCUAGUGAUUUGGCAUUGGACACGAAAUGGUUUGAUUCAGUAAAGCUUGAGAAUAACACCUUCCCUCUGGAACUGCAUCCUCCGUCUGUCCUCUCCUUUCUGAACUGCAGAGUUUCUCUCAAUUCUUAGCAUUAUGAUACAUCUCAAGGAGGUGAAUAUUAUUCCCUCUUUACUGGAAAGAACUUCAAAUAAAAUCCUUGAUUUACUACA